GAACCCUAAAAAAGACGUACUUCUCCAAAACAAGAAGAAGUCGUCCUAUCCUCUCUAAAAUAUGCUGCAACAAACCAGCCCCUCCUCCCUCACUCUCUCGCCAUCAGACGCACACCCCACCAAACCGACACCUCGACCACCCCAUUUUCCAAACCUUCAGCCACCAGCCGCCGUCGACCUCGCCUGAACCAAAGCAAAAAUAGAAAAACUGAGUUGGGCAACGGGGAAGGGAAAUGAAAGAAACAGAUAACAAGAGAAUAGAGGGGAACGACAAAAUAGGGGAAAGGGAUUUGUGAUCGUUGUCUUUGGAUAGAUACACACACACACACAAAAGAAUACCCAGAUACACACACACACACGAACAGUAGAGAGGAAAUAGAACAGCCGCAAACCAUGACAAAUAGUUCAUUUCCACCAUUGUUCAAGCUCAAUCGAAGUUCAGAAAAUCCGUUCGAGUUAGAAGGUUUUCGGCCGAGGUCCUAUUCGCGUUUCCGAUUCCGAUGUUGUUGUCGAAUUUCAGUUUCCCUAACUGAACGGUCAUUUUGGUUUGGGUUUCUCUUUGUUAAUACAUUGAAGAUGGUUUUCUACCUGUGAAGGAUCUGAGGCUGGUCCAUCUAGUUACCCACCCGGCGCGCAUUCUUGAUAUUAGUUCGAGACUUCACGGUGAGCUGCCCCCUUUUCCAAGCUGUCCAGUAGCAUCGUCGGAGUUUCUCUUUUGUUGUAUCUGUCUAUACUAUCUCAGACAGUAGGAUAGUUAUAUUUUUGUACAUUCUACUAGACGCCCUCGGACUUGUGACACUAGAUCCUUUCACAUACAUUAGUAGACUAUUAUUUUUGGGUUGUAAGAUUAUAUUCAUGAUAUCCUCUAGUGGUUCUUGCA